AUUGAACGCUGGCGGCAGGCCUAACACAUGCAAGUCGGGCGAGCGGCGGACGGGUGAGUAAUGUAUGGGGAUCUGCCUGAUGGAGGGGGAUAACUACUGGCAACGGUAGCUAAUACCGCAUACCAUCAGAUGAACCCAUAUGGGAUUAGCUGGUAGGUAAGGUAAAGGCUCACCUAGGCGACGAUCACUAGCUGGUCUGAGAGGAUGGUUCGCGAUACUGGGACUCAGAAACGGCCCGAACGCCUGCAGGAGCGGGCAGAGGCGAAUAUAGCAGAAUGGGAGCGAGUAUGACGCAGCGAGGAAGCGGGUAGGAAGAAGGCUGUAGGAAGGUAAACUACAUUCAGUGGGGAGGCAUUGGCCGCAGAAGAAGCGCCGGUUAAUUCCGUGCUAGCAGCCGCGGUAAUAC
rnacentral:rRNA from 1 species